rnacentral:rRNA from 1 species
GAUGAACGCUGGCGGCGUGCUUAACACAUGCAAGUCGAACGGAAAGGCCCUGCUUUUGUGGGGUGCUCGAGUGGCGAACGGGUGAGUAACACGUGAGUAACCUGCCCUUGACUUUGGGAUAACUUCAGGAAACUGGGGCUAAUACCGGAUAGGAGCUCCUGCUGCAUGGUGGGGGUUGGAAAGUUUCGGCGGUUGGGGAUGGACUCGCGGCUUAUCAGCUUGUUGGUGGGGUAGUGGCUUACCAAGGCUUUGACGGGUAGCCGGCCUGAGAGGGUGACCGGCCACAUUGGGACUGAGAUACGGCCCAGACUCCUACGGGAGGCAGCAGUGGGGAAUAUUGCACAAUGGGCGGAAGCCUGAUGCAGCAACGCCGCGUGCGGGAUGACGGCCUUCGGGUUGUAAACCGCUUCCGCCUGUGACGAAGCGUGAGUGACGGUAAUGGGUAAAGAAGCACCGGCUAACUACGUG